rnacentral:misc_RNA from 1 species
GUUCGCUAGAUUUAGCUUUUCAGAAUGCGUCCUGCAGCGUUUUGGGACGCAAAUGUCCCAUGGCGUGGGACUCAUGAUCUGGAAUGCGGAACUCAGGUGAAGGUGACGAAUCUGAUAACUAUGGGCUGAUAAAUGAGGUUAAUUUGAUGCGAAUGAUGGAAGAUUAGUAGACAUGGAAACUAGAGUAGUAUUUUUAUGUUUGGAGGGUGCCUGGCAUGUAUCUGCCUGCCAUUGGCUAAUAUUUGCAUCAUUCUGUGUGGUUUUCCUAUAAUAGGACAAUCCUGGCUGCAGCAAGUGAGCACUUUUGCAUUUGAACUUUGUGUCAAUUACCUGGAUUAACUUUUUUAGUAUCGCAUUUAGUUGCAAGAAGUAAACAUGUGCCAUCACCACCUUUGAUUAUUUCCUUUGCUGUCUCACAUCUUUUUUACUUAUUCUGCAUGCCUGAUGCAAUGUCAUCUGUCUCAGCAAGUCUAAUUUAUGUUCUCUAAAAUAUUUCAGGCAAGAGUAUCAUGUGAAGUGU